GACGAACGCUGGCGGCGUGCUUAACACAUGCAAGUCGAACGGAAAGGCCCUGCUUUUGUGGGGUGCUCGAGUGGCGAACGGGUGAGUAACACGUGAGUAACCUGCCCUUGACUUUGGGAUAACUUCAGGAAACUUGGGCUAAUACCGGAUAGGAGCUCCUGCUGCAUGGUGGGGGGUGGAAAGUUUCGGCGGUUGGGGAUGGACUCGCGGCUUAUCAGCUUGUUGGUGGGGUAGUGGCUUACCAAGGCUUUGACGGGUAGCCGGCCUGAGAGGGUGACCGGCGACAUUGGGACUGAGAUACGGCCCAGACUCCUACGGGAGGCAGCAGUGGGGAAUAUUGCACAAUGGGCGGAAGCCUGAGGCAGCAACGCCGCGUGCGGGAUGACGGCCUUCGGGUUGUAAACCGCUUUCGCCUGUGACGAAGCGUGUGUGACGGUAAUGGGUAAAGAAGCACCGGCUAACUACGUG
rnacentral:rRNA from 1 species